UACGUAGGUGGCAAGCGUUAUCCGGAUUUAUUGGGCGUAAAGGGAACGCGGGCGGUCUUUUAAGUCUGAUGUGAAAGCCUUCGGCUUAACCGGAGUAGUGCAUCGGAAACUGGUUGACUUGAGUGCAGAAGAGGGAAGUGGAAUUCCAUGUGUAGCGGUGAAAUGCGUAGAGAUAUGGAGGAACACCAGUGGCGAAGGCGGCUUCCUGGUCUGCAACUGACACUGAGGCGCGAAAGCGUGGGGAGCAAACAGG
rnacentral:rRNA from 1 species